rnacentral:rRNA from 1 species
UGACGUUAACUUUAGAAGAAGCACCGGCUAACUCCGUGCCAGCAGCCGCGGUAAUACGGAGGGUGCAAGCGUUAAUCGGAAUUACUGGGCGUAAAGCGUGCGUAGGCGGUUUAUUAAGUCAGAUGUGAAAGCCCCGGGCUUAACCUGGGAACUGCAUUUGAAACUGGUAAACUAGAGUAUGGUAGAGGAAAGUGGAAUUUCUGGUGUAGCGGUGAAAUGCGUAGAUAUCAGAAGGAACAUCAAUGGCGAAGGCAGCUUUCUGGACCAAUACUGACGCUGAGGUACGAAAGCGUGGGUAGCAAACAGGAUUAGAUACCCUGGUAGUCCACGCCGUAAACGAUGAUAACUAGCCGUUGGGGGGAUUUACCCUUUAGUGGCGAAGCUAACGCGUUAAGUUAUCCGCCUGGGGAGUACGGCCGCAAGGUUAAAACUCAAAGAAAUUGA